AUUGAACGCUGGCGGCAGGCCUAACACAUGCAAGUCGAGCGAGCGGCGGACGGGUGAGUACUGUAUGGGGACUGCCCGUUAUAGGGGUAAAACUACUGGAAACGGUGGCUAAUACCGCAUACACGCGGAUACCCCAUAUGGGAUUAGCUAGUAGGGGGGGUAAAGGCCCACCUAGGCGACGAUCUCUAGCUGGUCUGAGAGGAUGAUCAGCCACACGGGGACUGAGACACGGCCAAGACUCCUACGGAGGCAGCAGUGGGGAAUAUUGCACAAUGGGCGAAAGCCUGAUGCAGCCAUGCCGCGUGUAUGAAGAAGGCCUUAGGGUUGUAAAGUACUUUCAGCGGGGAGGCGUUACCCGCAGAAGAAGCACCGGCUAACUCCGUGCCAGCCGCCGCGGUAAUAC
rnacentral:rRNA from 1 species